UACGUAGGAGGCGAGCGUUGUCCGGAGUUACUGGGCGUAAAGGGUGCGCAGGCGGCGGUUCGCGUGGCGAGAUGAAAUCUCCUGGCUUACCUGGGAGGAUGGUCGCCAGACGGGAUCGCUUGAGGGUCGGAGAGGGGCGUGGAAUUCCGGGUGGAGCGGUGAAAUGCGUAGAGAUCCGGAGGAACACCGACGGCGUAGGGCAGCGCCCUGGACGACACCUGACGCUGAGGCACGAAAGCUGGGGGAGCGAAACAGGAUUAGGGAAUACCCG
rnacentral:rRNA from 1 species